UGUUGACUAGCUUGUGGCUACAAAAAAA
rnacentral:piRNA from 1 species